rnacentral:rRNA from 1 species
UUUAUGGAGAGUUUGAUCCUGGCUCAGGAUGAACGCUGGCGGCGUGCCUAAUACAUGCAAGUCGAGCGAACAGAUAAGGAGCUUGCUCCUUUGACGUUAGCGGCGGACGGGUGAGUAACACGUGGGUAACCUACCUAUAAGACUGGAAUAACUCCGGGAAACCGGGGCUAAUGCCGGAUAACAUGUUGAACCGCAUGGUUCUACAGUGAAAGACGGUCUUGCUGUCACUUAUAGAUGGACCCGCGCCGUAUUAGCUAGUUGGUGGGGUAACGGCCUACCAAGGCGACGAUACGUAGCCGACCUGAGAGGGUGAUCGGCCACACUGGAACUGAGACACGGUCCAGACUCCUACGGGAGGCAGCAGUAGGGAAUCUUCCGCAAUGGGCGAAAGCCUGACGGAGCAACGCCGCGUGAGUGAUGAAGGUCUUCGGAUCGUAAAGCUCUGUUGUUAGGGAAGAACAAAUGUGUAAGUAACUGUGCACAUCUUGACGGUACCUAACCAGAAAGCCACGGCUAACUACGUGCCAGCAGCCGCGGUAAUACGUAGGUGGCAAGCGUUAUCCGGAAUUAUUGGGCGUAAAGCGCGCGUAGGCGGUUUUUUAAGUCUGAUGUGAAA